AACGAACGCUGGCGGCAGGCUUAACACAUGCCAGUCGAGCGCCCCGCAAGGGGAGCGGCAGACGGGUGAGUAACGCGUGGGAACGUACCUUUUGGUUCGGAACAACUCCGGGAAACUGGAGCUAAUACCGGAUAAGCCCUAACGGGGAAAGAUUUAUCGCCGAAAGAUCGGCCCGCGUCUGAUUAGCUAGUUGGUGAGGUAACGGCUCACCAAGGCGACGAUCAGUAGCUGGUCUGAGAGGAUGAUCAGCCACACUGGGACUGAGACACGGCCCAGACUCCUACGGGAGGCAGCAGUGGGGAAUAUUGGACAAUGGGCGCAAGCCUGAUCCAGCCAUGCCGCGUGAGUGAUGAAGGCCUUAGGGUUGUAAAGCUCUUUUGUCCGGGAAGAUAAUGACUGUACCGGAAGAAUAAGCCCCGGCUAACUUCGUG
rnacentral:rRNA from 1 species